rnacentral:sRNA from 1 species
UUUUUUUAGUUUUUGU